ACAGUAACCUCAAUACUUACUAUGGGUUUACCGCAGUAGCCAUAGUUUUACUGUGGUAUUUGUAGUAAAAGCACAAUAACCUUGAUUCUUACUAUAUUUUUACUACAGUGACUGUACUUUACUGUGGUAUUUGUAGUUAAAGCACAGUAACCUCAACACUUACUUUGGGUUUACCACAAUAACUGUAGUUUUACUGUGGUAUUUGUAGUUAAAGCACAUUAACCUCAACGCUUACUAUGGGUUUAACUGUAACUCAAUUACUGUAGUUUACCUCAGUAACUCUAGUUUUACUGUGGUAUUUGUAGUUAAAAUAACAACAACAUCUGUACAGUAAAAACAACACCUACAAUGUUUUUACCACAUUAACCUUUUUAACUGUAAAGCACAGUAAUGACAACGCUUGCCACGCCUUUAAUACUUUAAUAUUCAAUAUUUUGUUUCUGUCUUGCAGUUACAUCGGAUCACACAGCGGCUCUUUUAAGAAGCCAUCUCUUGUAAAGUUUUUGCAUGAUGGCCUUUCUCAGACUCUGAAUCUGAUGUGUACAGAUGAACUCAGGAGCCUGUUAAAGUUGCCAGGGAAUAUAUUUUCUUGUUUUACAGCUGAAGACCAAAAACACAAAGAAAAUCAGUCACAGCUAGCAAGUCAAACCGGUCCUGAUGAAUGAGGAAUGAAUAUGGCCUUCUUGAGCCCAAACAGAAAAAGACAGAGCUGGAAGGUUGCACAUUUCCAUUGCUCCUAGAAUAAGCAAAUCAACUCUGCCAUUAUCUUUGGAAUUUGGGCAGGAAAUGAUCGAAUAUGGAGGAUGAAGCCAGUUUGAAGAGA